GACGAACGCUGGCGGCGUGCUUAACACAUGCAAGUCGAACGGUAAGGCCCUUCGGGGUACACGAGUGGCGAACGGGUGAGUAACACGUGGGUGAUCUGCCCUGCACUUCGGGAUAAGCCUGGGAAACUGGGUCUAAUACCGGAUAGGACCACUGCCUGCAUGGGUGGUGGUGGAAAGCUUUUGCGGUGCGGGAUGGGCCCGCGGCCUAUCAGCUUGUUGGUGGGGUGAUGGCCUACCAAGGCGACGACGGGUAGCCGGCCGGAGGGGGUGACCGGCCACACUGGGACUGAGAUACGGCCCAGACUCCUACGGGAGGCAGCAGUGGGGAAUAUUGCACAAGGGGCGCAAGCCUGAUGCAGCGACGCCGCGUGAGGGAUGACGGCCUUCGGGUUGUAAACCUCUUUCAGCACCGACGAAGCGCAAGUGACGGUAGGUGCAGAAGAAGGACCGGCCAACUACGUGCCAGCAGCCGCCGCGG
rnacentral:rRNA from 1 species